rnacentral:rRNA from 1 species
CCGGCGACGUCGCGAGAGUCCACUGAACCUUAUCAUUUAGAGGAACAGAAGUCGUAACAAGUUUCCGUAGUGAACCUGCGGAAGAUCAUUG